UGAAGUCUUAGCCCUCUUCUGAUCUUGUGGUUUGUCUGCCACCCUGUUCUAUCAGUGGAUCUCAGCAGGCUAGCUGAGACAAGAGUGUGCUGGGACCUGCUCUAUUUUUUCUUGUUUAGAGCCCUGCUCAUUCAGUGAAUGGGCAUAGAAGUAAAAAGAUAUUUACAGAGAACUGUGAAAGAACACUGACUUCUGGCAAAUUCUCUGUACCUUCACUUCACUGCAGUGCAGGAGAGAAUAGGCUUAACAGGAAUAGAAGAAAAGGACUGCAAAGGAAGGAACAAGCCAGAAAACAGCUUCUUGGAUUUCAUUCUCGGAGAGAGCAAGUUCAAGAGUAUAGAACUGCCAAGGCCAGCAGGAGAAUUCGCAGCUGUUGAUGAGAGCAGGAAGGGAUCUUUUAUCUCCAGGAGGUAUUCUAGGAAUGGCCUACAAUAAGUGAGUAGGAACUGACAAUUUAUUUUUUUUUUUCCUUCCAUAGAAUGAUGUUCAGUUGUCUAUGGUCUGACGUUUCAAAAAAAAAAAAAAAAAAAAAAAAAAGAAGCUCCAACUGAUAAGGAGAAAGUAGAGUUGGAGAGUUAGAUUCCACUUCUCAAUGCUUUGUUGCUCCUUUUUUCUUUUUUUUUUUUUUUUUUUUUCAGUGAAGAGCCUUGCCACAGGAAAUAAAAUGCUGUACCAAAGAGCUUUAGUAAACUAC
ensembl:lncRNA